UACGUAGGUGGCGAGCGUUGUCCGGAUUUACUGGGCGUAAAGAGCGCGCAGGCGGUCGUCCAAGUUGCGUGUGAAAGCCCCCGGCUCAACUGGGGAGGGUCACGCGAUACUGAUCGACUCGAAGGCAGGAGAGGGAAGCGGAAUUCCCGGUGUAGUGGUGAAAUGCGUAGAUAUCGGGAGGAACACCAGUGGCGAAGGCGGCUUCCUGGCCUGUUCUUGACGCUGAGGCGCGAAAGCUAGGGUAGCAAACGGG
rnacentral:rRNA from 1 species